CCUGCUUCCGAAUCAUCAAAAGUCUGGUGGCAAGACAAAAUUCAGGACAGCUGGUGAUGGCCCAGGAAGCAGU
rnacentral:lncRNA from 1 species